rnacentral:rRNA from 1 species
AAACUGGGGAUAAAUCCCGGAUAGAUNCAUGGAUGCUGGAAUGCNCCUUGAUUUAAAGCUCCGGCGCCCCAAGGAUGGNUCUGCGGCCUAUCAGGUUGUAGUGGGUGUAACGUACCUACUAGCCGACGACGGGUACGGGUUGUGAGAGCAAGAGCCCGGAGAUGGAUUCUGAGACACGAAUCCAGGCCCUAUGGGGUGCAGCAGGCGCGAAACCUUUACAAUGUGCGAAAGCAUGAUAAGGGAACUCCGAGUGCCAGCAUCUAAUGCUGGCUGUCCUUGUGCCUAAAACGCACAAGAUAGCAAGGGCCGGGUAAGACCGGUGCCAGCCGCCGCGGUAACACCGGCGGCCCGAGUGGUAGCCGCUAUUAUUGGGUCUAAAGGGUCCGUAGCCGGUUCGAUAAGUCCUCUGGGAAAUCUGGUUGCUUAACAAUCAGACUGCCAAGGGAUACUGUCGAACUUGAGACCGGGAGAGGUAAGAGGUACUUCAGGGGUAGGAGUGAAAUCUUGUAAUCCCUGGGGGACCAUCUGUGGCGAAGGCGUCUUACCAGAACGGGUCUGACGGUGAGGGACGAAAGCUGGGGGCGCAAACCGGAUUAGAUACCCGGGUAGUCCCAGCCGUAAACGAUGCUCGCUAUGUGUCAGGUACGGUGUGACCGUAUCUGGUGCCGUAGGGAAGCCGUGAAGCGAGCCACCUGGGAAGUAUGGUCGCAAGACUGAAACUUAAAGGAAUUGGCGGGGGAGCAC